AGCAGAGUGGUGCAGCGGAAGCAUGCUGGGCCCAUAACCCAGAGGUUGAUGGAUCCAAACCACCCUCUGCUA
rnacentral:tRNA from 1 species